rnacentral:tRNA from 1 species
GCCGCUAUGGUGAAAUUGGUAGACAUGCACUCUUAGGAAGCAGUACUUAUGCAACUCGGUUCGAGUCCGAGUAGCGGCA